rnacentral:rRNA from 1 species
AGAUUGGACGCUGGCGGCAGGCCUAACACAUGCAAGUCGAGCGGUAGAGAGGUGCUUGCAUCUCUUGAGAGCGGCGGACGGGUGAGUAAUGCCUAGGAAUCUGCCUAGUGGUGGGGGAUAACGUUCGGAAACGGACGCUAAUACCGCAUACGUCCUACGGGAGAAAGCGGGGGACCUUCGGGCCUCGCGCCAUUAGAUGAGCCUAGGUCGGAUUAGCUAGUUGGUGAGGUAAUGGCUCACCAAGGCGACGAUCCGUAACUGGUCUGAGAGGAUGAUCAGUCACACUGGAACUGAGACACGGUCCAGACUCCUACGGGAGCAGCAGUGGGGAAUUAUUGGACAA